rnacentral:tRNA from 1 species
GAGGGUACAGCUCAAGUGGUAGAGCACAUGCUUAGCAUGCACAAGGUCCUGGGAUCAACCCCCAGUGCCUCCU